rnacentral:rRNA from 1 species
ACACCGAGGUGGCAAGCGUUGUUCGGAAUUAUUGGGCGUAAAGAGCACGUAGGUGGAUUUGUUAGUCAGAUGUGAAAGCCUUUCGUUCAACGGAAGAAUUGCAUCUGAAACUACAAACCUUGAGUAUAGGAGGGGAGAGUGGAACUUCUGGUGGAGCGGUGAAAUGCGUAGAUAUCAGAAGGAACGCCGGCGGCGAAAGCGACUCUCUGGCCUAUAACUGACACUGAGUGUGCGAAAGCUAGGGGAGCAAACGGGAUUAGAUACCCCUGUAGUCC